rnacentral:lncRNA from 10 species
CCCAGUUACUUGAGAAGCUGAGGCACGAGACUUGCAUGAACCCAGGAAGUGGAGGUUGCAAUGAGCCGAGAUCACACCACUGCACUGCAGCAUGGGCAACAGAGCGAGACUUCAUCUCAAACCAAAACAUCUCAUAAAUACAUACACCUACUAUGUACCCAUGAAAAUUAAAAAUAGAAAAAGAGGUCAUAAAUAAAACCACUGCUUUGGAUAAUUAAAAAAAAUAAAGUCCUCAGGUUGUUCUCCACCUCUGAACCCUGUUCAUUUCUUCAUAGCACAUUUCACAAUCUGGUGAUGUGUUUGUCUAUCUGAUGAAUUAUCUGUCUACUUCUCUGGGCUGCAAACUCCAAAAUCAUAGGGAUUGUGUAUGUUUGGUUCAGUGUCCAUUUUUAGGACUGAACAGUGU